rnacentral:ncRNA from 1 species
CAGAGUAGAAAUUUGUGCGUAAAGUGUUUUGCGGACGGGGAGUUGCCGCAAAAACGAAAGAAGCGUUGCUUCUGCGGUACAGAUUUCGCAUCCCGCUGU